AGAACGAACGCUGGCGGCAUGCCUAAUACAUGCAAGUCGAACGAACUCUUCGGAGUUAGUGGCGCACGGGUGCGUAACGCGUGGGAAUCUGCCCCUUGGUUCGGAAUAACAGUUGGAAACGACUGCUAAUACCGGAUGAUGACGAAAGUCCAAAGAUUUAUCGCCAAGGGAUGAGCCCGCGUAGGAUUAGCUAGUUGGUGAGGUAAAGGCUCACCAAGGCAACGAUCCUUAGCUGGUCUGAGAGGAUGAUCAGCCACACUGGGACUGAGACACGGCCCAGACUCCUACGGGAGGCAGCAGUAGGGAAUAUUGGACAAUGGGCGAAAGCCUGAUCCAGCAAUGCCGCGUGAGUGAUGAAGGCCUUAGGUUGUAAAGCUCUUUUACCCGAGAUGAUAAUGACAGUAUCGGAGAAAUAAGCCCCGGACUAACUCCGCACCAGCAGCCGAC
rnacentral:rRNA from 1 species